rnacentral:rRNA from 1 species
CAGCAUGGUCUUAGCUCGCUAAGGCCGAUGGCGACCGGCGCACGGGUGAGUAACACGUAUCCAACCUGCCGUCUACUCUUGGACAGCCUUCUGAAAGGAAGAUUAAUACAAGAUGGCAUCAUGAGUCCGCAUGUUCACAUGAUUAAAGGUAUUCCGGUAGACGAUGGGGAUGCGUUCCAUUAGAUAGUAGGCGGGGUAACGGCCCACCUAGUCUUCGAUGGAUAGGGGUUCUGAGAGGAAGGUCCCCCACAUUGGAACUGAGACACGGUCCAAACUCCUACGGGAGGCAGCAGUGAGGAAUAUUGGUCAAUGGGCGCAGGCCUGAACCAGCCAAGUAGCGUGAAGGAUGACUGCCCUAUGGGUUGUAAACUUCUUUUAUAAAGGAAUAAAGUCGGGUAUGUAUACCCGUUUGCAUGUACUUUAUGAAUAAGGAUCGGCUAACUCCGUGCCAGCAGCCGCGGUAAUACGGAGGAUCCGAGCGUUAUCCGGAUUUAUUGGGUUUAAAGGGAGCGUAGAUGGAUGUUUAAGUCAGUUGUGAAAGUUUGCGGCUCAACCGUAAAAUUGCAGUUGAUACUGGAUAUCUUGAGUGCAGUUGAGGCAGGCGGAAUUCGUGGUGUAGCGGUGAAAUGCUUAGAUAUCACGAAGACUCCGAUUGCGAAGGCAGCCUGCUAAGCUGCAAC